AUGCCGCUCCGCACGCUGCUCCGGCACCUAGCCGCCGGGCGCUUCGCCCGCGUGCAGGCUCUCACGGGCACGACCACGGCGGCGGCGGCGCACGGCGUCCUCCACCUCCUCCUCCGCACCGCGCCGCUCCCUCCCCUGCCCCACCUAGUCUCCCUCGCGCGCUGGUCGCGCGCCCACUUCCGCGCGCCGCUCCCGCUCCCGCUCCACGCGCUCCUCCUCGCUCGCCUCGCCUCCCACAGGCUCUACCCGCUGCUCCGCUCCGAGCUCCACGCCCUCGCUGCCGCUCGCUUACACUCCCCGCCUUCCAUCCUCCGCGCCCUCCCCGCCGCCUCCUCCCCCACCGCCCCGCCGCUCAUCGCGGACAUGCUCGUCUGUACGCUCGCUACGGAUUCCCAGCCCUUGCCAGCGUACGAGGCUUUCCUCUUCGCCGGAGACAACUACCCGCGCCACCGCCCCUUUGUCUUCUCGGUGAACCGCCUUCUAUCCGCCCUCGUCGACGCUGGCCGGGCCGACCUCGCCGAGAGGGCUUUCAGGGCGGCGCUCCGGCGGCGGGUAUCGCCGGACCUUUUCACUUUCAACAUCGUCAUCUCCGGGCUCUGCAAGGACGGCCAGCUCAGGAAGGCUGGCGAUGUGGCCAAGGACAUCAGGGCGUGGGGGCUGACUCCCUCUGCCGUCACCUACAAUACUCUCAUCGCUGGAUACUGCAAGAGGGGUCGUACCGGGAGGAUGUACCAUGUGGAUACACUCUUGAAGGAGAUGAUCGAGGCUGGGAUCUCGCCAGAUGAGGUAACAUUCAAUGUGUUGAUUAAUGGGUAUUGCAGUGACUCGAACCUUGCUGCUGCGCUGAGAGUCUUUGAGGAGAUGAAGGAGCAGGGGAUUGCGGCGAGCGCGGUGACAUACGCUGCACUUGUUUGUGGUUUCUGUGGCGAGGGGAAGGUAGAGGAAGGGGUGAAGCUAGUGGAUGAGAUGCAGGAUUUGGGGCUGGCGCCUAAUGUGGCUACCAUGAACAGUGUGCUGAAUGGGUUUUGCAAGAAGGGCAUGAUGGCAGAUGCUGAGAAUUGGAUUCAUGGUAUGGUGCAGAGGAGUGUUGAACCUAAUGUCGUUACCUACACUGUUUUGAUCGAUGGAUAUCGUCGGCUCGGCAAAAUGAAGGAUGCAGUGGCAGUGAUGGACGCGAUGGCAGGUAAGGGGAUUAGUCCAAAUGUAAGAUCGUACAAUUGCCUGAUAGCUGGGUUUACCCAUAAUGGGGAUUGGAGGAGUGUUUCUGGCCUUCUCGAUGAGAUGAAGGAGAAAGGUGUUUGUGCUGAUAUUGUUACUUACAAUACACUCAUUGGUGCCCUGUGCUGCAAAGGGGACGUACGGAAAGCCGUAAGGCUUUUGGAUGAAAUGGUGAUGGUUGGCGUGGAGCCAAAGCAUGUGACUUACAACACCAUAAUACAUGGAUACUGUGAGAAGGGGAACAUCAAGUCUGCCUAUGAAAUUAGGACCAGGAUGGAGAAAGAUAGGAAACGGGCAAAUGUGGUCACAUACAAUGUGUUCAUCAAGUACCUUUGUAGAAUGGGGAAGAUGGAGGAGGCUAAUGAGCUCCUGAAUGAGAUGUUGGAGAAAGGUCUCGUUCCAAAUGAGGUUACCUAUGAAACAAUCAAGGAGGGGAUGAUGGAGAAAGGUUAUGUCCCCGAUGUUAGAGGACUCACUUGCUCAGAAUCCUCUCAAAACCUUUCAUCUACCUGAACACAUGACACCCCUGCAGCGGCCUGCGAUGAACCGGCUCCGGCGUGCCACUGCAGCUCCCCUCCACCCUGCUUCGACCAGGUCAACUUCGCGCUGCCCAGCCAGCGGAUGCCCAUAUCAGACCUCUUCACCUGAAUGACGCUCGUAGAGUGGUUCACCGUGUCUGUGCUGGUUUAUUGGCAUACUACCCAGGACUUUUGAUUGUCCCAGAUUAGAUAAUUUGAUCGUUUGAGAGUUCUGUAACCCUAACAAUAGGGAGGAAAGUUCCUCCCAGCAGCCACCAUCAAUCCCUAUCUCAGGUUAGACCCUCACCUCUGUCCACAUGGUAUCAGAGCAAGGGGCACUGAGGGCAGUGUUGAUCUGGAAGCCUAGACUGCUGCGGUAGCUAGGAGGAAGAGGAAGGGAGCAGGCUGUUGCGGUGGCUGGGGGAAGAGGAAGGGAGCAGGCUGCUGCGGCGGCAAGGAGGGAAAGGCAGUGACAAGUAAGGAUAUGAAGAGGACAUCCUGCGGGUAAGCCCUUUGAUGUUUCUGAGAGGUUAGUUUGGUGUCAAGCUGGCUAGGGGUGCGAAAGGCAGUACCACAGCAACGAAGGCAAGCAUAGGGGACAACGGGGAUUUGACCAAGGCUCUGGAGAAGCUAGCACUACCAAAGGAUGAAAGGAGAUGGAGGAGGAUCUGGAGGGGGGCAAUCGUUUCCCAUACCGACAUCCGUCAGAAACUUGAGCUGCUGGCUAAUGAAAUCAAGCUGGAAGGAGUGACCAACUAUCUCCGGUGGUCAAGGAGGGCGCUGUUGAUUUUGAACUCGAAAGGGCAGGAUGAAAGCUGCAGAACCAGCAGACAAGACCAGUUCUGAAUGGAAGAAGUGGAAUGCCAUAAGUUCGCUGAUUGUGGCAUGGUUGCUUAACUCUUUGGUUCCUAAUAUUGCUGCUUCUGUAGAGCACUCACAAAGGAGGUAUGGGACACCCUAUCAAAUCUCUAUUCUGGAAAGGAAAAUAUUAUGUUGAUUGCUUAGAUUGAGGAUAAAGUGCAUGACUUGCAAAAAGGAGACAAAACUAUAAUGGCAUAUGUGGCUGAGCUGCAGCAUCUUUGGGGAGAUUUAGAUCAUGUUGAUCCUCUAGAACUUGCCCAUGGGGAAUGCGUGAGUGCUGCUACGAGCUGGAUUGAACGCCGGCGGGUUAUGAAGUUCUUGAAAAGUCUUAAUCAAGAUUUUGAGGGAAGAAGGGCUGCUUUAGUGCAUCAAACCACUACCCCUUCUCUCAAAGAAGCCAUUGCAGCUAUGUCCAGAGAGGAAGUGCGUCUGAAUAUGGCAAAGGGCAGCGAUUAUGUCCCUCAUUCGACCUUCUACACUAUCGAGAGACAGGAGAUGAGAGACUGCUAUACUUGUGGACAGAAGGGACACUUGAAGCAACAGUGUACCUCCUUUGCUACACCCGAUAGGGGGGAGAGGGGGGUACAUAUAUGGUAGAGGAAGCUGGAAGAGGUGAUGGUAGAGGUGGUGGACAACAAUAUGUCAGAGGUGGUGGACAACAAUAUGGUAGAGGUAUGGCAGCAGCUUUAGAGCCAACAGCCAGGGUCAAUGAAAGAAAGAAGGACAAAAUGAAGCAACCUUUGGAAACUUUGCUCACUAUGUCUACAAAGAUGAAGGUGGGGCUACACCUUCAGCUUCCAUAUUCCAUGGCAUAUCUAAACGAAUAAAGAGCCCUCACGUGGAAGGUGGAACACCAGAACGCUAUGUGUAACUCGGUGAUGGGAUGUCUCUUGUACCCCCUUCGCUCCAUUCAUCUUCUAUCUUAUACGAAGAAACUUGGUCGUUUAUUUCUCAUCAACUGUAGUGGAGUUUUAGUGCUUGUCUCGUUGCCUGGUAUCUUCAGAAUUUGCACUUAAUUGGUUAAAGUUGUAAUGCAACUUGUUUGUUACUUGCUUCUAGUACUUUGGUUGAAGUCAUGGACGGGGCCUCUGGUUAUGUCGAAACUAAUUACUUGUGGUACGUUUUUUAGUUGGUUCGCGGAAUGAGAAUUGUUGGUUGUUGUUAAUUUUGUUGAUGACCAAAAAUAUGCAUAGUAUCGAGUA